UACGUAGGUGGCAAGCGUUGUCCGGAUUUACUGGGCGUAAAGAGCGCGCAGGCGGCUGGUCAAGUCCGAUGUGAAAUCUCCCGGCUUAACUGGGAAACUGCAUCGGAAACUGAUCGGCUUGAAGGUGGGAGAGGGUAGUGGAAUUCCCGGUGUAGUGGUGAAAUGCGUAGAUAUCGGGAGGAACACCAGUGGCGAAGGCGACUACCUGGCCCAUUCUUGACGCUGAGGCGCGAAAGCUAGGGGAGCGAGCGGG
rnacentral:rRNA from 1 species